rnacentral:lncRNA from 1 species
GAUGACUCUGCCUUGAUGCGGUCAGUAUCUCUUUAACCGCGAUCUCUGGUACAUCCGCCCGAAUUCUGACGCGCCACCAUGUCGGUUUAUGUGUGACCGCGAGCGAAGAUGUGACAAGUGAUCUGUGCGCAUGUGUGUGUCAAGUGCAGUCCCUUCGAAGGACGCGUUUCCCCGGACCUCUCACCUAGAUACAUCGACUAUUAUGAUCAAAGAAUAAAAUGUCCGCAAAGUCCCGAGGAUGCACGAUCCUACGAUGCUUGGUGUUGCAGCAAUUAGUUCUCGUGACAGACAUUUUGGGGCAGGCGAGGCCGCCCCCACGGCCGUCCAGACCCCCCGGUCCCCCGGGCCCAGUGCACCCCCGCAUAGGUAACCCCCCCUACCAGAAGCACCUGAACCCCUAUCACACACCACCCCCUACUCGCGCUACCGUGGGGGUACCGCGUCCCCCUUCAAUCACAAAAACGCCCUCAACCCACCCUCUAGUCCUAGUUUACCUGAAUUCUCUAAUCAUAAGGCUAAUAGUAAGUACCGGCAACCCAAUGUACCGCCUCGGCGACCCCCCAACAAAUACUUCAAACCCUCCACUCGCGGGCAAGAAAAAUACGUCCCCUACCCGCAGACCAGCAGGCCGGAGCAGCUCCACGAGUACCAACAGAACUACUACAAGCUCCAACAAUCCCAGAAGCAGUUCUUCAACCAACCCAUCAAGCAGCUCUACCAACAGCAGCAAGAACAGCUCGCCUACCACAAGCAGCAGCUCAAACUAGAAGAACAACACGCGCAGCAUUCUCAGCAGGUCUUCAGCCGCGUUAAGUACCCCGAAGACAAGCCACGCCCCUCGAGUUACAUAGUAACACCCCACCCGGAAAACUACGAUCCCUUUACCAGUGUGAGCACCUCAGAGUACACGCUAAAUUUCGACCGGAAUCCCUUCAAAAUUGGCGGUGACACCGAGACUCCCAGCUACUACGGCAAGACCCCGAGUUAUUUGGACACCCAAACGGAGGCGUAUAGCUUUGACAGCCAGAACAACCACGCCCCCAGUGGCAACCAGACUGAGGAAACGCAACAGAGACCCUCCCACCUUCUCCACUCCGAUCUCCUCACCCCAGACCGACUGCGCCAGUUUAAUAAACUAAAAACCUCCACGCCCACCUCUUCGCCCUCCGGGCGACCUCCUGGUAACCGCACGAUCUCCACGAACAUCUCCUUACUGAGCAACAACAUCGACUCCAAACACAAACACCUCAUCAAAUUCGUGCGCAGCCAGGCAGGGGGGUUUAAGUCCCGGGGGGACGACGACCCCGGGGGUGGGGCUGGGGGCGGAGCCGGGGAUGUAACUGGGGGCGGGGAAAGCCCACCCCCUGCCAACCGCCGCGCAGAUCAUAACUACUUCCCCGACCCCACGGAAGAAGCCCCUCCCCCUCCUGGCAACAUCUUCUCCGUGCCGACGAGCAGACAAACAACAGCCAUCAACCACAACCGUGGCCUGACAACGAUGCCCCACAAUACCCAACUGGCAACAAUGGACUGGGGGUUGACAACGGAGCGCUACCCCCUUCGCCGGGCCUACGGACAACCAUUCUCGACCCCCGGACAAAAGAACUCCCAGUACAUGAAGCCGACGGGGUUUCGCGGGGAGCAGCCGAAGAUCGUGCGGGGGUCACACCUGAACAACGUCACCCAUUUGAUAGGGGUGAGUCUCAACGACACUGACGCCCCUAGCGCCGAGGCGCUGCACUACUACGGGCGGCUGGCGGAUGAUGAGGAUCGGGAGGAACUGUAUCGGAUGCUCCAGAAUGUGACGCUCUUGUCGGAUAUAAGGAAGCAGAUUCUGGACUCGGUUUCAACGCAUAUGACGGAUGGGAUCGAUAUUGAGUAUCCGGAUGUUUAUGCUGAAGCCACCGAGGAUGAGGAUGAUUCUUUCGUUUUUGCCUCUGCGCCCAGACCGAGGCCUGAAAAAUAUCCAAAAUUUCGACCGCCCAUAACGGACUACUCGCCUGAGAUAAUGAUUCACUCAGAUUUGAUGAGCGACUACGAGAAGAACAGGCCCCACAGCACAAACUUAGUUGAGAUCACGUCGACGCACCGGGACUGCCGGCUGAGGUCGCGGCGGUACAUCUCGGACGGGCAGUGCACCUCGCCGCAGCCGAUCACGGAGGCCGUCUGCGCGGACAGCUGCACGAUGCCCUCGUACAUGUUCAACGAGCUCCCGGAGCCGCCCGAGGACGAGUACCUGGACGAGCCGCCCCGGAGCGUCCAGUACGCCGGGUGGCUCAGGCGCAAGAACUCCAAGCGACGCACCCGCUCGUCCCCCGCCAAGCCGGACAAGACCCACCGACAGGACUAUAUCGAGGAUUUUGACAUGCCCGAGGUGAGUCCCAAAGCUAAUUCUAGGUGGCGGUAACCACCCCGGCCCAAUCCUA